rnacentral:tRNA from 1 species
GGGGGUGUAGAUCAGUGGUAAACUGCUUGCCUAGUAUGUGCAAGACCCUGGGUUCCAUCCCCAGCACUGCAU